GACGAACGCUGGCGGCGUGCCUAACACAUGCAAGUCAACUUGAAGGAAGGAGCAAUCUGACCUGAUGGUGGCGCAAGGGUGCGUAACGCGUAAGUAACUUGCCCCAAGGUAAGGAAUAACGUCGAGAAAUCGGCGCUAAUACCUCAUAAUGCAGCGGAUCCGCAUGGAUAUGUUGUUAAAGGUUUACCGCCUUGGGAUAGGCUUGCGUCUGAUUAGCUAGUUGGUGUGGUAAUGGCACACCAAGGCUACGAUCAGUAACUGGUCUGAGAGGAUGAUCAGUCACACUGGAACUGAGACACGGUCCAGACUCCUACGGGAGGCAGCAGUGAGGAAUAUUGGGCAAUGCACGAAAGUGUGACCCAGCAACGCCGCGUGGAGGAUGAAGGCCUUC
rnacentral:rRNA from 1 species